UACGGGGGGGGUAAGCGUUGUUCGGAAUUACUGGGCGUAAAGGGCUCGUAGGCGGCCAACUAAGUCAUACGUGAAAUCCCUCAGCUUAACUGGGGAACUGCGUGUGAUACUGGAUGGCUUGGAUUUGGGAGAGGGAUGCGGAAUUCCAGGUGUAGCGGUGAAAUGCGUAGAUAUCUGGAGGAAUACCGGUGGCGAAGGCGGCAUCCUGGACCGACAUGACUGCUGAGGAGCGAAAGCCAGGGGAGCAAAGCGGG
rnacentral:rRNA from 1 species